CCUACNGGUUGCAGCAGUGGGGAAUAUUGCACAAUGGGCGCAAGCCUGAUGCAGCCAUGCCGCGUGUAUGAAGAAGGCCCUAGGGUUGUAAAGUACUUUCAGUCGGGANGAAGGCGUUGAUNCUAAUAUCAUCAACGAUUGACGUUACCGACAGAAGAAGCACCGGCUAACUCCGUGCCAGCAGCCGCGGUAAUACGGAGGGUGCAAGCGUUAAUCGGAAUUACUGGGCGUAAAGCGCACGCAGGCGGUUGAUUAAGUUAGAUGUGAAAUCCCCGGGCUUAACCUGGGAAUGGCAUCUAAGACUGGUCAGCUAGAGUCUUGUAGAGGGGGGUAGAAUUCCAUGUGUAGCGGUGAAAUGCGUAGAGAUGUGGAGGAAUACCGGUGGCGAAGGCGGCCCCCUGGACAAAGACUGACGCUCAGGUGCGAAAGCGUGGGGAGCAAACAGGAUUAGAUACCCGUGUAGUC
rnacentral:rRNA from 1 species